CUCUCUCUCUCUCUCUCGCUCUCUCCCCUCUAUAUACACAUACAUACAAGCAUAUACUAUCCUCAAAAUAUAUAUAUAUACAUUACAUGCUCUUCCCACAAAUAUAAAUACAUAUAUAUAUGUAUACAAAAGAGCUCCAGGCAAAUUAACCUCUUCCAUUGGUGUUGCUUUCUGUCCUUUCGUCUUCCUCCUUUUCCCUCUGUUUGUCUUUCCUUUAUCCUCCAUGGCAGGAGCUCUGUUCCGCUUCACUACCACCGUUUCUCCAAGCCGCCGGCCAUCUUCCUCGGCGCCGAUGAUGGUCAACACCUCUUCCAGCCAGUCUUACCGGACCACCGCCGACGCCGCCAUUGAAAUCCAUCUCAAGCAAGCCAUUCUUAUCCGACACCCGCUCCCCGUCUACGAGCCCAUGCACCACCUAAUCUUCGCCGCCCCUCGAACCGCAGCGCCCGCCCUCUGCAUCGCUGCGUGCGAGCUCGUCGGCUGCCACCGGGACCAAGCCAUCGCCGCAGCCUCCGCCAUACACCUCAUGCACGCUGCUUCCUACACUCACGAGCACAUGCAAUUGACGCACAGA
rnacentral:lncRNA from 1 species